UGAGCAAUCUGCCCUUCUCAUCGGAAUAAGCGUGGGAAACCGCGUCUAAUGCCGAAUACGACCUCCUUUCGCAUGAUCGGAGGUGGAAAGCUCCGGCGGAGAAGGAUGAGCUCGCGGCCUAUCAGCUAGUUGGUGUGGGUAAUGGCCCACCAAGGCGACGACGGGUAGCCGGCCUGAGAGGGCGACCGGCCACACUGGGACUGAGACACGGCCCAGACUCCUACGGGAGCAG
rnacentral:rRNA from 1 species